UACGUAGGAGGCGAGCGUUGUCCGGAGUUACUGGGCGUAAAGGGUGCGCAGGCGGCGGUUCGCGUGGCGAGAUGAAAUCUCCUGGCUUACCUGGGAGGAUGGUCGCCAGACGGGAUCGCUUGAGGGUCGGAGAGGGGCGUGGAAUUCCGGGUGGAGCGGUGAAAUGCGUAGAGAUCCGGAGGAACACCGACGGCGUAGGCAGCCUCCUGGGCCAGCACUGACGCUCAUGCACGAAAGCGUGGGGAGCAAACAGG
rnacentral:rRNA from 1 species